rnacentral:rRNA from 1 species
GAUGAACGCUGGCGGCGUGCCUAAUACAUGCAAGUCGAGCGAACUGAUUAGAAGCUUGCUUCUAUGACGUUAGCGGCGGACGGGUGAGUAACACGUGGGCAACCUGCCUGUAAGACUGGG